GGCCCAAUGGUCUAGUAGCAUGAUACUCCCUUCGGGAUUUCGCGUCUCGCUUGCUUGCGUAAGCUUGGGAGUGGUCCCGGGUUCAAUUCCCGGUUGGGCCC